rnacentral:rRNA from 1 species
UACAGAGGGAGCAAGCGUUGUUCGGAAUUACUGGGCGUAAAGGGCGCGUAGGCGGCCUACUAAGUCAGACGUGAAAUCCCCAGGCUCAACCCGGGAACUGCGUCUGAUACUGGAUGGCUUGAAUCCGGGAGAGGGAUGCAGAAUUCCAGGUGUAGCGGUGAAAUGCGUAGAUAUCUGGAGGAAUACCGGUGGCGAAGGCGGCAUCCUGGACCGGCAUUGACGCUGAGGAGCGAAAGCUAGGGGAGCAAACGGG